CAGUCGCCACGGUAAUACGUAGGUGGCAAGCGUUGUCCGGAAUUAUUGGGCGUAAAGGGCUCGCAGGCGGUUUCUUAAGUCUGAUGUGAAAGCCCCCGGCUCAACCGGGGAGGGUCAUUGGAAACUGGGAAACCUGAGUGCAGAAGAGGAGAGUGGAAUUCCACGUGUAGCGGUGAAAUGCGUAGAGAUGUGGAGGAACACCAGUGGCGAAGGCGACUCUCUGGUCUGUAACUGACGCUGAGGAGCGAAAGCGUGGGGAGCGAACAGGAUUAGAUACCCGUGUAGUCCCUGUCUCUUAUAC
rnacentral:rRNA from 1 species